CCUACGGGAGGCUGCAGUGGGGAAUAUUGGACAAUGGGGGCAACCCUGAUCCAGCCAUGCCGCGUGUGUGAAGAAGGCCCUCGGGUUGUAAAGCACUUUCAGUGAGGAAGAACGCCUGGUGGUUAAUACCCAUCAGGAAAGACAUCACUCACAGAAGAAGCACCGGCUAACUCCGUGCCAGCAGCCGCGGUAAUACGGAGGGUGCGAGCGUUAAUCGGAAUUACUGGGCGUAAAGCGCGCGUAGGUGGCUUGAUAAGCCGGUUGUGAAAGCCCCGGGCUCAACCUGGGAACGGCAUCCGGAACUGUCAAGCUAGAGUGCAGGAGAGGAAGGUAGAAUUCCCGGUGUAGCGGUGAAAUGCGUAGAGAGCGGGAGGAAUACCAGUGGCGAAGGCGGCCUUCUGGACUGACACUGACACUGAGGUGCGAAAGCGUGGGUAGCAAACAGGAUUAGAUACCCCUGUAGUC
rnacentral:rRNA from 1 species